rnacentral:misc_RNA from 1 species
UCUCCGUAGGUGAACCUGCGGAGGGAUCAUUACAGAGUUCAUGCCCUAACGGGUAGAUCUCCCACCCUAUGUUAUCAUCACUUUGUUGCUUUGGCGGGCCGUCAGGCCUCGGCUUGGCUACCGGCUCUCGCUGGUAAGCGCCCGCCAGAGAACCCCAAACCCUGAAUAUCAGUGUCGUCUGAGUACUAUAUAAUAGUUAGAACUUUCAACAACGGAUCUCUUGGUUCUG